AUACUUAUCCGGCAGGGGAGAACCCUUGAUCGUGAAGGAGGUUUACCUAAGGUAACACUCAGCCAUUGCACUCUGGCUGUGCUGACCCUUGAAAUUUUCCCAAAUGCAGGAAACUUUACUGCAUAAUUUGUGGUAGUGGGGAACUGCAUGCACACUUUCCCCU
rnacentral:snRNA from 1 species